rnacentral:rRNA from 1 species
GGAAUUUUGGACAAUGGGCGCAAGCCUGAUCCAGCAAUGCCGCGUGAGUGAAGAAGGCCUUCGGGUUGUAAAGCUCUUUUGUCAGGGAAGAAACGGUGCUUUCUAAUACAGAGCGCUAAUGACGGUACCUGAAGAAUAAGCACCGGCUAACUACGUGCCAGCAGCCGCGGUAAUACGUAGGGUGCAAGCGUUAAUCGGAAUUACUGGGCGUAAAGCGUGCGCAGGCGGUUUUGUAAGACUGUCGUGAAAUCCCCGGGCUCAACCUGGGAAUGGCGAUGGUGACUGCAAGGCUAGAGUUUGGCAGAGGGGGGUAGAAUUCCACGUGUAGCAGUGAAAUGCGUAGAUAUGUGGAGGAACACCGAUGGCGAAGGCAGCCCCCUGGGUCAAAACUGACGCUCAUGCACGAAAGCGUGGGGAGCAAACAGGAUUAGAUACCCGGG